AUUGAACGCUGGCGGCAGGCUUAACACAUGCAAGUCGAGCGGGGGAAGGUAGCUUGCUACUGGACCUAGCGGCGGACGGGUGAGUAAUGCUUAGGAAUCUGCCUAUUAGUGGGGGACAACAUCUCGAAAGGGAUGCUAGUACCGCAUACGUCCUACGGGAGAAAGCAGGGGAUCUUCGGACCUUGCGCUAAUAGAUGAGCCUAAGGCGGAUUAGCUAGUUGGUGGGGUAAAGGCCUACCAAGGCGACGAUCUGUAGCGGGUCUGAGAGGAUGAUCCGCCACACUGGGACUGAGGCACGGCCCAGACUCCUACGGGAGGCAGCAGUGGGGAAUAUUGGUCAAUGGGGGGAACCCUGAUCCAGCCAUGCCGCGUGUGUGAAGAAGGCCUUAUGGUUGUAAAGCACUUUAAGCGAGGAGGAGGCUACUUUAGUUAAUACCUAGAGAUAGUGGACGUUACUCGCAGAAUAAGCACCGGCUAACUCUGUGCCAGCAGCCGCAGUAA
rnacentral:rRNA from 1 species